UUGCAGGAGGUGGACCGGAAGACGACACACGAGCUUCUGUGGAAUACUCUAUUAGGUGACCUACUACCCCGUACUGGAGGUUCGUCAUGCCACUGGCGCCGCUUUGGCUGAGCUGGUCCACCGCAGUUUUGACAGCGGAUACACUUGACUUCUCGCACACGCCCGGCACUGAUGCAUGGUCAUUACUCACGGCUAAACCUGCCAAUAACACGAGGUGAGCAGGGAAAGACCUCGCACCGUCGUAGUCGUCGCCGCUCCCCUCACCGCUGCUCCGUCGGUGCAUAUUUGUGCGAAACGGCCUAAUAAUCGGUGUUCCUUGGCGUUACCCUUCAGUUAUCCAUCCAUGGGACCAACCACGCCGCCUCACGCACGGUAUGUCACGGGCAGCACGGCAGUUGGCGGGAACUCACUGGGCAGCUGCAGCUGCUCCGCUGCUGUGCCGGCCGGUCGGCGUCCGGAGUGCGCUCGGCUGAGCGAGGCACGAAUCUCGGCUCAGCCCUUCUGAUCCUUGUGGGAGCCUCGCCAGAGCAGAGAGGGCCUCUGCUGAUGUCCGUCCUGCGCGCCCUCAAGACCACCUCCUCCGUCCUCCGUAUCAGCGCUCGCAGCACCAACCCCCUCCGCUGCGUCUGAA